CCACUCUGUGAGAAUCAGAAUCCCAGCUCUGCUGAUCUGCCUUGGUUCUGUGACUUCACAGAGCUUCUCUAAGCAGUCUGGACUCAGAUUUCUCAUCUGUGAAUGGAAGAAAUCCACCACUGUAUCCUGAAAAUAUUGAACUCAUGAGAAAAAUAGGUAUUGGGACAACAUCAACUUACUGAUGAGAGGCAUAAAGAAGGCCCCUUCUAAUUCAGCUUGGAAAUCCAACUCCAAGACUCCAUCAGAUUGUUUGUUUUCUAAUUGCACUUUCAUCAUACACAUGCCCUUCUUAAUAUGUCCCACAGUAAAGCAAAUAUGGGGACUGCAUUGAUUCCUUUGUAAAGGCUCCUCUUCCAAUCAUGAAGGAUGUUCUCUUAUAUUCUAAACACCUCUGAAAUGCCUUAGAUUCUAAUUUACUGUGGGAAUGUGAUAUUUAAAGUUAACUGUCAAUGUCUAAAAUUUGUAAAUAACACUAAGUUAUUUCAUAAUAAAAUCCAAAAGAAUUAUAGAAACCC
rnacentral:lncRNA from 1 species